UACGAAGGGGGCUAGCGUUGUUCGGAAUUACUGGGCGUAAAGCGCACGCAGGCGGAUUGAUAAGUCAGGGGUGAAAUCCCGGGGCUCAACCUCGGAAUUGCCUUUGAUACUGUCUGUCUUCGAGUUCGGGAGAGGUUGGCGGAAUUCCUAGUGUAGAGGUGAAAUUCGUAGAUAUUAGGAAGAACACCAGUGGCGAAGGCGGCCAACUG
rnacentral:rRNA from 1 species